UACAUGGGGUGCAAACGUUGCUCGGAAUUAUUGGGCGUAAAGCGCACGUAGGCGGUUUGUUAAGUCGGAUGUGAAAUCCCUCGGCUCAACUGAGGAAGUGCAUCCGAAACUGGCAAGCUUGAGUACGAAAGAGGGUCGCGGAAUUCCCGGUGUAGAGGUGAAAUUCGUAGAUAUCGGGAGGAACACCUGUGGCGAAAGCGGCUCUCUGGACCACAACUGACGCUGAGGCGCGAAAGCGUGGGUAGCAAACAGG
rnacentral:rRNA from 1 species